rnacentral:rRNA from 1 species
UACAGAGGGUGCGAGCGUUAAUCGGAAUUACUGGGCGUAAAGCGCACGUAGGUGGCGACGUAAGUCGGGUGUGAAAGCCCCGGGCUCAACCUGGGAAUUGCAUUCGAGACUGCAUUGCUGGAGUACGGAAGAGGAAGGCGGAAUUCCCGGUGUAGCGGUGAAAUGCGUAGGGAUGUGGAGGAACACCAGUGGCGAAGGCGGCUUUCUGGUCUGUAACUGACGCUGAGGUGCGAAAGCGUGGGGAGCAAACAGG